rnacentral:rRNA from 1 species
AGAGAUGUGUGAUGACGCAUAUCAAUAAGCGGAGGAAAAGAAACUAACAAGGAUUCCCUUAGUAACGGCGAGUGAAGCGGGAAGAGCUCAAAUUUGAAAUCUUCAAGGUUCUACCUUGACGAAUUGUAGUUUAUAGAAGUGUUUUCUGUUAGUGGAGUGGCAAAAGUUCUUUGGAAUAGGACAUCAUAGAGGGUGAGAAUCCCGUAUUUGGUCAUUCCUUCUAGCUUUGUGAUACACUUUCAACGAGUCGGAUUGUUUGGGAAUGCAGUCCAAAAUGGGUGGUAAAUUUCAUCUAAAGCUAAAUAUUGGCGAGAGACCGAUAGCGAACAAGUACCGUGAGGGAAAGAUGAAAAGAACUUUGAAAAGAGAGUUAAACAGUACGUGAAAUUGUCAAAAGGGAAGCGUUUGACACCAGUGUUGUUUUUCCGAAAAUCAAUUACGAAUGUUUUAUUUUUGAGAAGUUAUGACUUCAUCGGCUUGCUUCUCUCUUUAUGAAACUUCUUAAUGCCCUUUUCGGUUAACAAGUCAACAUCAAUUUCUUUUGUUGUAAAAGGGUAUGAGGAAGGUGGCUUUCUUUUCGGAGAAAGUGUUUAUAGCCUUGUACCUCUGCAAUCGGAGAGAUUGAGGUCUGCAGCGUAGAUCCUUCGGGGUUAGAUACAUUUGUGCUAAGUUAUAGCUUUUCAUAGACAACUUGUUGACUAUGUUUAGUCUUGUAGCUUACUCGCUUAUGCUAUUUUACCUACGCUUAGGAUGUUGACAGCAGUAUAGACUGU